rnacentral:rRNA from 1 species
AUUCCGGUUGAUCCUGCGGGAGGCUGCUGCUAUUAGAAUUCGAUUUAGCCAUGCAAGUCUGAUGUUUAUUCAUCGGCAGAAUGCUCAGUAACACGUCGAUAAUCUGCCCUAUGGUCGUUGAUAACUUCGGGAAACUGAAGGUAAACAACGAUAGGAAAAUUCGCCUGGAAUGGUUUUUUUCCCAAACUCGUGCCAUAGGAUGAGUCGGCGGUUGAUUAGGUAGUUGGUGGUGUAAUGGACCACCAAGCCAAUGAUCAAUACGGGCCUUGAGAGAGGUAGCCCGGAGAGGGACACUGAGAAACUGGUCCCAGCCCUACGGGGUGCAGCAGGCGCGAAACCUUUACAAUGCACGAAAGUGUGAUAAGGGAAUCCCAAGUGCUCAUGCAAUGCAUGGGCUUUUGCCAAGAGUAAAUACCUUGGCGAAUAAGUGGUGGGUAAGACCGGUGCCAGCAGCCGCGGUAACACCGGCGCCACGAGUGGCAACCGCUUUUAUUGGGCCUAAAGCGUCCGUAGCUGGUUAAGUAAAUUUUUUGUGAAAUUGUCGGGCUUAACCUGACAGCGUGCAGAAAAGACUGCUUGACUAGGGACCGGGAGGAGUUAGAGGUAUUCUGGGGGGAGCGGUAAAAUGUUAUAAUCCCUAGAGGACCACCUGUGGCGAAGGCGUCUAACUAGAACGGAUUCGACAGUGAGGGACGAAGGCCAGGGGAGCAAAACGGAUUAGAUACCCGAGUAGUCCUGGCAGUAAACUCUGUGAGCUAGGUGUUACAUGUCCUUUGAGGGCAUGUGGUGUCGUAGCGAAGGCGUUAAGCUCACCGCCUGGGAAGUACGGUCGCAAGACUGAAACUUAAAGGAAUUGGCGGGGGAGCACUACAAGGGGUGCGGCGUGCGGUUUAAUUUGAUUCAACGCAGAAAACCUCACCAGCAGCGACGGCAGGAUGAAAGUCAGUCUGAAGGGCUUACUUGACGAGCCGAGAGGUAGUGCAUGGCCGCCGUCAGCUCGUGCCGUAAGGUGUCCAGUUAAGUCUGGCAACGAGCGAGACCUAUACCUGCUAUUGCUAACGGCCAUUUAUAGGACCGAGCACUUUGCAGGGACUGCCUUGGAAACAAGGAGGAAGGUGUAGGCAACGGUAGGUCUGUAUGCUCCGAAUCUUCUGGGCUACACGCGCGCAACAAUGGUAAUGACAAUGGGCUGCAACUCCGAAAGGAGAAGCUAAUCCUCGAAACAUUGCUUUAGUUCGGAUUGCGGAUUGUAACUCGCCCGCAUGACGCCGGAAUCCCUAGUAAUCAGACGUCAUCAUCGUCCGGUGAAUAUGUCCCUGCUCCUUGCACUCACCGCC